CAGUCGCCGCGGUAAUACGUAGGUGGCAGGCGUUGUCCGGAAUUAUUGGGCGUAAAGGGCUCGCAGGCGGUUUCUUAAGUCUGUUGUGAAAGCCCCCGGCUCAACCGGGGAGGGUCAUUGGAAACUGGGAAACUUGAGUGCAGAAGAGGAGAGUGGAAUUCCACGUGUAGCGGUGAAAUGCGUAGAGAUGUGGAGGAACACCAGUGGCGAAGGCGACUCUCUGGUCUGUAACUGACGCUGAGGAGCGAAAGCGUGGGGAGCGAACAGGAUUAGAUACCCCCGUAGUCCCUGUCUCUUAUAC
rnacentral:rRNA from 1 species